AUUUGAUGCGCAUUGCUGCGUAGGUGCUGGGCACUUAAAUAACAUACAUUUUCUGAUCCUGGUGCCUGUGUUCCAUGAGCUCAGGCCAGGCUGCUCUAAAUUUUUUACUUAUUUGGACACAUGUAUUUCUUUUGCAUGAGUAGUGUGUUGGGGACCUUAGCCCAAAAUUGCCUUAAAAACAUCUAAGCCCCCUGAAACAUUGGCUUCUGGGGGCUUCAUUCUGGAUUGGCACACCAUGACACUAAGCCACAAGGGAGAUAGUGCACUUCUUCUGUAUGUAACCAGCAUUCUGGAGGUAUUCACCUGGCAACAAAGUAUUAUCAUUCCUUUUAACUCAACACAUUAUGGGCUCAGCAGAUGGCUCACUUACUCUGGUAAUCCAGCAUAUGGGCAAGAAAGAACUAGUGACAUUUCAAACAAGCACCACUCUCAGGGAGUUCCAACAGAAGGUUGAGGAGAUGACCAAGGUUCCAGCAUCUGCCCAGAAGGUUGUGCACAGGUAUAGAGCAGCAGUGGCUG